GGAGUAAUGGAGAACUCCAAGGGCAGGAGGUAACCAUUAAAGAGGACCAUCAUGUAGUGUGAGGAGUCAACAUUUCACACUAGAAAGCCCUUGGUUCAAGUUUUGUCUCUGCCACCUACAGAUUUUGUAACCCUGAGGAAACUAGCUACCUCUUUAUGUACUGCCCUAUGGAGAGGCACACAUGUCAAGAAACUGAGGGAGUGCCUUCCAGUCAACAGCCAGCCAGGAACUAAGGUGCUCAGUACAGCAGCCUCCACAAAGGACUGAACAAUGCCAACAGCUAUUUGACUGUGCUUGGAAGAUCUCCGUUUAGUUAACCCUUCAGAUGAGACCGCAGCCCUGGCCAGCAAACAAAUUGCAGCCUAUGGAAAGACCUUAAGGCAGAAGCACCCAACUGAACCACCCGAGGGCUCUGACUUACAGAAACUGUGAGCAUAUAGUGAAAUGGCCUCUACCUUAUUUUGAAUGGAUUUCUGGGAUAAAGUUCUUCAGUGAUAACAUGUUUGAACACAAAUCAGAGCGAACGACGUGAAAAGAGUUCUGUUUCUCCUGGAAGGAUGCCACUUGUUUCUACUCCAGGGGAAAUGUCUUCCAAGCUCUUUACCAAAUCUGCAAGCUGAACCAACUCAACUGUGGCUGCCUUGCCCACCUGAAGACCUCAGGAUCCACCAGCAGCCCAAGACACCUCGGAAGCUGUUUCAAGUGAUGCUGCCUGGAGUUAAAGGAGGCCAGGAGCACCAGAAGCUGGAGGAGGCCGGGGUGGAUUCUCGCCUGGAGGCUUCAGUGGGAGCACGAGCUCCCGACACUUCGGUUCCAUCUCUUGUUUAAAGGCACCCAGUUUCUCAUCAUUUGUUACAGCACCAUGGAAAACCCACACACAAGUGAAGCCCCGACCCACCUCCCAAGUGCCCAUCUGAGCACCCCUCGUGGACUCUGAGCAGGGGGUUGCCAUCACCAACUCCAAGUCUUGCAGCCCCUCUUCCCUUCAGUCUGGCUGCCACCUUCUUCAUUGCCCUGGAAAAAAAUAAUGAAGUUUCACCAUUUAAAGGGUUUCAGUGCAGCUUGCUAUGGGAACACUGGAGAGUAACACAAAUGGCCAAUUGUCCUAAUAGCCACCAUGGAUUGGAUGGAUGCUAACAACAGGCUCACAGUUCUCCUUCUGUUGCCUCCUUUUAUCCACAUGAGAAUCAAACAAGACUACUGAUUAAAUGAAGCCUUUGAUGAAGUGCAUGCAGUUUGUAGCUUGAUUCAUGGGAAUACUCAUCACAGACUGAAAGUGUAACCCAGGGUCUCUGGGUUUUUGGGAACGCGCUGUGUAAAAGUAUCUACUUGUAACUGUUACUCCCUGAGUUGUUGUUGUUUUAGAAAGUUCCAAGAAGAAGCUUAGCCUUGGAAAAAACAAAAACUGGUUGAAUCCAGAAGUGGAGAUGAAUUUUGGCCAACGCUCCUCACUGCCACACUAAAAACCCUGCUCAGAGAGGAGCUUAUUCACCAUGUUCUAUUCAUGCAAUGUGUGUGGAAACAUGAUCUACGACAGCAUGCGUGCUGCCUUCACCCUACCUCUACAUACAAUGACUCAUUUAACCUGCUGAAUAAAAGCCCUGUUUUCACCUUUGCUGGGGGAGGUGCCGCUUUGGGAACUAUUCGCAGUGUCCUCUUCACUUUUUGCAAGUAAUAGAAUACCCUUGUUAAAUCC
ensembl:lncRNA LINC01229 long intergenic non-protein coding RNA 1229